GUCCACACAGUAAACGAUGAAUACUCGCUGUUUGCGAUAUACAGUAAGCGGCCAAGCGAAAGCAUUAAGUAUUCCACCUGGGGAGUACGCCGGCAACGGUGAAACUCAAAGGAAUUGACGGGGGGCCCGCACAAGCGGAGGAACAUGUGGUUUAAUUCGAUGAUACGCGAGGAACCUUACCCGGGCUUAAAUUGCAAAUGAAUUAUGGGGAAACCCAUAGGCCGUAAGGCAUUUUGUGAAGGUGCUGCAUGGUUGUCGU
rnacentral:rRNA from 1 species